CAGAGUACCAGCAAGGUGCGGGUGAGGACCUCAGGUUCCGUGAAAUACUCCCGGGAGGAUUCUAUCCGGCGGCAGUCCCACCGGUCAAAGUCUAUGAAAAUUUCUAACUCCUCAGAGUUUUCAGCUAAGGAUACCAAGGAGUCCUGGAAGAAGAGAGACCAAAAGGGGAGAAGAUUUAUUUGAAGAAAUAAUAGCUGAAAACAUCCCUCAUCCAGGGAAGGAGACAGACAUCCAGAUCCAAGAGACACAGAGAACUACUAUCAAAAUGAACAAAAGCAGAUCCUCACCAAGACAUAAUCAAAUUGGCAAAAUACAGUGAUAAAACAUUUUAAAAGCAGCAAGAUAAAAGAAGACAGUAACUCAAAAGGAAAACACAUAAGGCUAGUGGGGUAUUUUUCAGCAGAAACUUUAAGAGCCAAAAGGGAGUGGCAUAAUAUAUUCCAAGUGCUGAAUGGGAAAAGCCUACAGCCAAGAAUAGCCAUCAAGGCUAUCAUACAGAACAGAAAGAGAUAGUUUCCCAAACAAAUGAAAAAUAAAAGAGGUUGUGAUCACUAAA